GACGAACGCUGGCGGCGUGCCUAAUACAUGCAAGUCGAACGCUUCUUUCCUCCCGAGUGCUUGCACUCAAUUGGAAAGAGGAGUGGCGGACGGGUGAGUAACACGUGGGUAACCUACCCAUCAGAGGGGGAUAACACUUGGAAACAGGUGCUAAUACCGCAUAACAGUUUAUGCCGCAUGGCAUAAGAGUGAAAGGCGCUUUCGGGUGUCGCUGAUGGAUGGACCCGCGGUGCAUUAGCUAGUUGGUGAGGUAACGGCUCACCAAGGCCACGAUGCAUAGCCGACCUGAGAGGGUGAUCGGCCACACUGGGACUGAGACACGGCCCAGACUCCUACGGGAGGCAGCAGUAGGGAAUCUUCGGCAAUGGACGAAAGUCUGACCGAGCAACGCCGCGUGAGUGAAGAAGGUUUUCGGAUCGUAAAACUCUGUUGUUAGAGAAGAACAAGGACGUUAGCAACUGAACGUCCCCUGACGGUAUCUAACCAGAAAGCCACGGCUAACUACGUG
rnacentral:rRNA from 1 species